CGCGAAGGCAAGCGGAUCUCUUAAAGCUGUUCUCAGUUCGGACUGCAGUCUGCAACUCGACUGCACGAAGCUGGAAUCGCUAGUAAUCGCGGAUCAGCACGCCGCGGUGAAUACGUUCCCGGGCCUUGUACACACCGCCCGUCACACCAUGGAAGUCUGCAAUGCCCGAAGCCGGUGGCCUAACCACUUAUGUGGAAGGAGCCGUCUAAGGCAGGGCAGAUGACUGGGGUGAAGUCGUAACAAGGUAAC
rnacentral:rRNA from 1 species